UGAAGAGGCCUCCCAGCAGUGCUCCGCUGGUGAAGAGGACCACAGAAGAGAGCGUGAUCGGGCCGGAUGAGGAACCGAAAUCUCUUUCUAUAGAGUAACGAGCCAAAGAAUAGAUACUGUUGACCUGCAAGUAUUUAAAAGGAUCCAGUUCUGUAGAUACUUCAUGAAGUAAUCCAGUGUCCAAGACACAAUGCUUGGGAGCGAAUUUUGGAUGAUCUAUCCAUGAACAACAAAAAACAAGCAUACGUCAAAGUGCAACUUCAGAUAAUUCAUUUUGUUGGGCACUUAACACAAAAAAAAAUAUGAAUGCAUCUAGCAUAUUUGUACUGUGUUUCUGAGAUAAAGAAAUAAAGCCGUGCAUACCUUUGCAACUGUUUUCCCAA